AAUGAACGCUGGCGGCGCGCCUAAUACAUGCAAGUCGAGCGAGAAGACGUAGCAAUACGUUUGUAAAGCGGCGAACGGGUGAGGAAUACAUGGGUAACCUACCCUAGAGUGGGGAAUAACUAGCCGAAAGGUUAGCUAAUACCGCGUACGCUCCUUGGACUUCGGUUCAGGGAGGAAAGCGAUGCCGAGGGUAUCGCGCUCUUGGAUGGGCUCAUGUCCUAUCAGCUUGNGGUGAGGUAACGGCUCACCAAGGCCUCGACGGGUAGCUGGUCUGAGAGGACGAUCAGCCACACUGGCACUGCGACACGGGGCCGA
rnacentral:rRNA from 1 species